rnacentral:lncRNA from 1 species
AAGAAAUUGACAAAAGAUCAUACAUCGUUGCAUGAAGCUGCUAUGAUACAGUUUUAGUAUGGAACAUCACUUCGACAAACUGUACUUGCGCUGAUUCUCCAGCAGAUGUCAGUCAUGGAUCAGCUUGUUCAAUUCCAGCCUUGGUUGUCUUCAUCGUCAGUCCUGAAAUAGAGGUUGUUACUAUUGGGGCGUCAGGUUCUGUAGCCUAUUUCUAUUUUUUCAUUUUUUAAAUUUAAAUAGGCAAGUAAAAUAAGAACAAAUUCUUAUUUAAAAUUACAACCUACACCGGCCAAACCCCGACCAAUUGUGCGCCGCCCUCCCAAUUACGGCCGGUUAUGAUUCUGCCUGGAUUCGAACCAGGGUGUCUGUAGAGACGCCGCAAGCACAGAGAUGCAGGGCCUUAAACCGCUGCGCCACCCGGGAGCCUAGCGGUUAAGAGCUUUGAGCCAGUAACCUAAUCGUGCUGAUUUGAAUCCCCCAGCCGACUAGAUGAAAAAUAUGUAAGUGCACUUGAGCAAGGCACUUAACCGUAAUUGCUCCUGUAAGUCACUCUGCAUAAGAGCAUCUGCUAAAUCUAGUUGCCACAAAGUCAUAGUUGUGGCUAAAACCCACCUAUUUCAACAAUUCAUAUUCUUAAAAACUCAUUCUAACUUUUGACAACCGAAAUAGGACCAGAGACGGAAGAAGAAGCGAGACACCCCACUUGCUGUUUUUUUCUGGUUCAUAAACAUCACAGAAACGAUGCGUGCUCAUCGAUGGGGCAGAUGUCCGGGUGUUGUUAUGAUUCUGGAAGGUCAUAUAGCUAGAAAAAAUGACAAGAAGCUGCCAUGUGGGGAAUCGACCAAUAAACAUGAUUCAACCAUCAUAAUUCCAGUUGUGGCAGUGUCCUGAUUAAAAGUACACAACGCAGAACAAACCACGCUACAAACUGGUGCCGUGACCUGCCGACUGGGCAGCUCAAGCCGCCCCCCGGGAGCUGUGCAUGUGGCUGAGGCUCACGACCUGCGCAUGCGCAUUUGUUGAUGGUUUGCUGUAAGCUAAUAUAUACUGUGAACAGUGAAUGUGAGUGUAGCAUACUCAUUAGAUACAGGUAUUCGUGCUUAUUUGUAUGUUUUUGAUGAAUUUGUUUAUUGCAAUUUUUUUUGUAUUUGAAUGCAGUAAAUUACAUUGUAUUUUAGUGCUCUGUUGAGCCAUGGAAGACUCUCAAGUCCACAAAUUUAGUUAUGCUGGGGAUUUUAGUGUGGGUAGAGGGAGGGGUGUCCUUGCAUUUACACCACUUGUACAGUCAGCUCCUGGGAGUAGAGCGUUUGCUAGUCCUGAGUUUGCAAGCGCUGGGAGGGGUGGGCUGUUUGUUCCACCUGACCAGGGUAUCCCACCUCUGUCUUUUGAUGUACCGUCAUCCACAGUCCUCAGUGAUAAUGGGACGCCUCCGAGUCAGCUUAGUGACAUUAUUAAGCAGAUUGGUUCAGAGAUAGGUGAAUCUAUCAGAGCGAGUUUACUGCAGUCUGGGGUUUCAAGUCUUGCUCCUGCCUGUCCCCCUCACCAACCCCAGCAGUUUCCCCUGCCUGAGCAGUGUGGGUCAACCUUUAUCUGGUUGUGAAGUCCGAUGUUAGUCCUCCACCUUUCUUUAGGGGUGAUGGCUCAGAUAAGUACUCUGUCCUGGAGUGGGAGGAGUUAAUGGGAGUCUACUUAGAGAAGAGGGGUUACACUGGGUCUGAGAAUGUUGGGGAGGUGAUGUCUAGGCUCAUGGGGAGGGCACGAGAUGUGACCAAAGUCUGGAUGCGUAACAACCCUGUUGUCACAGAUGUUAAGGCGGUGUUCAGUGUUCUUAAGCAACACUUUGGGGAUACUGUCUGCUCAGGUAUGCCAUUAGCUGAUUUCUAUUCAAUCAAACCAUAUGCUAAUGAGGGUCCAAUAGAUUUCUGGAUUAGGCUUAACAAAGCUGCAGAGGCAGCCAAACAGUACCUUGUGAGUGAGGGCAGGACCCUACCCAAUGAGUGCUCAGAGUUGGCAGUCAUGUUUGUACGCAACUGUCCUGAUAAAGAGUUGGCCCAAGUGUUCAAGAGCAAAGCCCUUCGUGACUGGACAGCCAGUGAGGUACAGGAUCAGUUGGAUGAACUGUUAAGGGAACGUAAAGCAUGUAGAACACAACUUUCACAGCAGGUGGCUGCCGUCUUUGACUCCCCCCAGG